rnacentral:rRNA from 1 species
GAUGAACGCUGGCGGCGUGCCUAAUACAUGCAAGUCGAGCGAAUGGAUUAAGAGCUUGCUCUUAUGAAGUUAGCGGCGGACGGGUGAGCAACACGUGGGUAACCUGCCCAUAAGACUGGGAUAACUCCGGGAAACCGGGGCUAAUACCGGAUAACAUUUUGAACCGCAUGGUUCGAAAUUGAAAGGCGGCUUCGGCUGUCACUUAUGGAUGGACCCGCGUCGCAUUAGCUAGUUGGUGAGGUAACGGCUCACCAAGGCAACGAUGCGUAGCCGACCGGAGAGGGUGGUCGGCCACACUGGGACUGAGACACGGCCCAGACUCCUACGGGAGGCAGCAGUAGGGAAUCUUCCGCAAUGGACGAAAGUCUGACGGAGCAACGCCGCGUGAGUGAUGAAGGCUUUCGGGUCGUAAAACUCUGUUGUUAGGGAAGAACAAGUGCUAGUUGAAUAAGCUGGCACCUUGACGGUACCUAACCAGAAAGCCACGGCUAACUACGUGCCAGCCGCCGCCGUAA